rnacentral:rRNA from 1 species
ACGUUAAGGGCGGCGAGCGGCGGACGGGUGAGUAAUGCCUGGGAAAUUGCCCUGAUGUGGGGGAUAACCAUUGGAAACGAUGGCUAAUACCGCAUAAUACUUUCGAGUCAAAGAGGGGGACCUUCGGGCCUCUCGCGUCAGGAUAUGCCCAGGUGGGAUUAGCUAGUUGGUGAGGUAAGGGCUCACCAAGGCGACGAUCCCUAGCUGGUCUGAGAGGAUGAUCAGCCACACUGGAACUGAGACACGGUCCAGACUCCUACGGGAGGCAGCAGUGGGGAAUAUUGCACAAUGGGCGCAAGCCUGAUGCAGCCAUGCCGCGUGUAUGAAGAAGGCCUUCGGGUUGUAAAGUACUUUCAGCAGUGAGGAAGGCGGGUGUGUUAAUAGCGCAUUCGUUUGACGUUAGCUGCAGAAGAAGCACCGGCUAACUCCGUGCCAGCAGCCGCGGUAAUACGGAGGGUGCGAGCGUUAAUCGGAAUUACUGGGCGUAAAGCGCAUGCAGGUGGUUUGUUAAGUCAGAUGUGAAAGCCCGGGGCUCAACCUCGGAAUUGCAUUUGAAACUGGCAGGCUAGAGUACUGUAGAGGGGGGUAGAAUUUCAGGUGUAGCGGUGAAAUGCGUAGAGAUCUGAAGGAAUACCGGUGGCGAAGGCGGCCCCCUGGACAGAU